rnacentral:rRNA from 1 species
CCUACGGGAGGCAGCAGUAGGGAAUCUUUCACAAUGGGCGAAAGCCUGAUGGAGCAACGCCGCGUGCAGGAUGAAGGCCUUCGGGUUGUAAACUGCUUUUAUAAGCGAGAAAUAUGAUGGUAACUUAUGAAUAAGGAUCGGCUAACUCCGUGCCAGCAGCCGCGGUAAUACGGAGGAUGCGAGCGUUAUCCGGAUUUAUUGGGUUUAAAGGGUGCGUAGGCGGAUCGUUAAGUCAGUGGUCAAAUUGAGGGGCUCAACCCCUUCCCGCCAUUGAAACUGGCGUUCUUGAGUGGAAGAGAAGUAUGCGGAAUGCGUGGUGUAGCGGUGAAAUGCAUAGAUAUCACGCAGAACCCCGAUUGCGAAGGCAGCAUGCCGGCUUCCGACUGACGCUGAAGCACGAAAGCGUGGGGAUCGAACAGGAUUAGAUACCCGAGUAGUC